GGAUGCUAAUACCGCAUACGUCCUACGGGAGAAAGCAGGGGAUCUUCGGACCUUGCGCUAAUAGAUGAGCCUAAGUCGGAUUAGCUAGUUGGUGGGGUAAAGGCCUACCAAGGCGACGAUCUGUAGCGGGUCUGAGAGGAUGAUCCGCCACACUGGGACUGAGACACGGCCCAGACUCCUACGGGAUGCAGCAGUGGGGAAUAUUGGACAAUGGGGGGAACCCUGAUCCAGCCAUGCCGCGUGUGUGAAGAAAGCCCUUAUGGUUGUAAAGCACUUUAAGCGAGGAGGAGGGUACUGGUAUUAAUACUACCAGGUACUGGACGUUACUCGCAAGAAUAAAGCACCGGCUAACUCUGUAGCCAGCAGCCGCGGUAAUACAGAGGUGUUCUAUCUUUAAUUUGAUUUACUGGGCUUAAAGCGUUCGUUGUCGUCUUAUUGAGUCGGAUGUGAAAUCCCUGAUCUUACUUUGGGAAUUGCAUUCGAUACUGUUUAGCUAGAUUGUUGGGAGAGGAUGGUAGAAUUCCAGGUGUAGCGGUGAAAUGCGUAGAGAUCUGGAGGAAUACCGAUGGCGAAGGCAGCCAUCUGGCCUAACACUGACGCUGAGGUACGAAAGCAUGGGGAGCAAACAGGAUUAGAUACCCUGGUAGCUCCAUGCCGUAAACGAUGUCUACUAGCCGUUGGUCUCUUUGAGGGAUUAGUGGCGCAGCUAACGCGAUAAGUAGACCGCCUGGGGAGUACGGUCGCAAGACUAAAACUCAAAUGAAUUGACGGGGGCCCGCACAAGCGGUGGAGCAUGUGGUCUAAUUCGAUGCAACGCGAAGAACCUUACCUGUCUUGACAU
rnacentral:rRNA from 1 species